ACGGAAUACGGAGCAUGAUCCUCCAUAUUGGAGAGGGCCUAUCUGGAUACCCUUGAAUUAUUUGAUUGUUUCUUCUCUUCAUCACUACUCUCAAGAGCCUGGACCAUACAGAGAAAGAGCCAAAACCGUCUACAAUGAAUUGAGGAGCAAUUUGAUAAGAAAUAUCGUUGGAAACUAUAAACGGACAGGUUAC